AUUGAACGCUGGCGGCAUGCUUUACACAUGCAAGUCGGACGGCAGCACAGAGAAGCUUGCUUCUUGGGUGGCGAGUGGCGAACGGGUGAGUAACAUAUCGGAACGUACCGAGCAGUGGGGGAUAACUAAUCGAAAGAUUAGCUAAUACCGCAUAUAUUCUGAGGAAGAAAGCAGGGGACCAUUUGGCCUUGCGCUGUUUGAGCGGCCGAUAUCUGAUUAGCUAGUUGGUGGGGUAAAGGCCUACCAAGGCGACGAUCAGUAGCGGGUCUGAGAGGAUGAUCCGCCACACUGGGACUGAGACACGGCCCAGACUCCUACGGGAGGCAGCAGUGGGGAAUUUUGGACAAUGGGCGCAAGCCUGAUCCAGCCAUGCCGCGUGUCUGAAGAAGGCCUUCGGGUUGUAAAGGACUUUUGUCAGGGAAGAAAAGGGCGGGGUUAAUACCCCU
rnacentral:rRNA from 1 species